UGGAAGCUGAGGGUUGGCUGGGAUCGUACCCUGCUGCUGUUCCCGUCUUGUGCCCGAAGAGCCUGCAGUGCUGUCUUCUGUCUUUAGAAGCCUCCUUCUUCCCAGCCAGCCCCAGGCACAGCCCUGCUGGGUGCUUUGCAUUUUGGAGGGAUGUGCUAGACUGUGACACAGACCAGGUAAGAGCCAAACCAGCAGCAGCAGAAACCCCACAGCACCGUCCCGCUCCAAACUUCUGUUGGCAGCAGCGGAGUUCCUGCUGCCUCUGCCUGUGACUGGGGGGAGCAGGAGGAUGCUUGUGCUGCGUUUGGCCCUAGGCUGGAUCCUGGCUGACAGACAGGCCCACCCCAACCUGCCAUGGAUGGGAACUGGGGUUUUUCCCCCAGUGACAGUGUUUGCAGGAGGGUGAUGGACCUGCGGCGUGUGUUCCCUGGCUGCUCUCAGUGCCUUGGUGUGUCUCUGCAGCCCCCUUCGUUUCCCAUUUGAGGAGCUGAAGGGACACCUUGGUAGCAGACUCGGUGGCAGCAGGUGAGCAUUGCCAGAACUGCAGCAGGGGAGCACAGCAAGGAGGAAUAAAGCCUUGCGGCCCUCCCUCUCCAUCAGUUUGUGCUCCUGUGGCUCAGCCCCAGCCCUGAGGAGCUGUGCUGGGAGGCGAUGGUUGGUGCAGCUCCAGAAGGGCUGAGGUUUGUGAGGGCUGUGUGGGGCUGGGCUGCAAAGCUUUUCCAGCCUCUCACCUGGCUGCCGUGGGAGUGGAGGUGACCUGCUCCUGAGGUCAUCAGGAUGAGUCCAGGCUUGGGCUGGCUGCGGGCUGAUCCCUCACGUUCCCCAGUGCCAUGGCAGGAGGGGAACCCUGUGGUCUGGUAGUGGGAUUCCUCCAGGCCCUCUCUGGUGGCUCAGAAGAGCCAUCCUUGCGUGGGAGAGGAUUGGCUGCUCCAUGGUCGGUGUCUCCCUGUCCGUGGACCAUUCCUUUUCAACACCUUUCAGUAUGCUUGUUAGAGUUUUGUGGGGUUUUUUUUAAUUUUUUGAAUGAUUCAAAUUAUUUUAGUUUAACGUGGAUUUAUUUUCCCUUUUGAGGAAACGUUCAGCCAGCUCGUUGGCAGCAGUUAGCUGUCCUGUUUGAAUUUUAGUAGUGGGUUUGGGGUUUUUUUUUUUUCCCCUUUGCUUUUUUAAUUUUUACUCUAACUGCUCAUUAUUUAUGCCUCUCUUUCUCCCAUCUCAGUUCAUCAUCUUCUGUUCCAGCCCUGGGGUUCAGCGGUCAGCAUAGCUGACCACAUGGCUCUUAGUUCCUCCCAGCUGUGACAGAGCUUUUUGGGUUUGGUUUUUUUUGUUCUUUUUUCUUUUUUUUUUUUUUGAAUGGCACACUGUAGCAAACCUCUGGGAAUUGAAUUCCUUCUCAAAUGAUUUUGUAUUUUAUAAAAUCCUAUUAGUAUGCACUGAGAGUGAACGCACUGUAAUGUCCCUGAACUGACCCUGGCGCCCGCGCUGACACUAAAGGAGGAGUUAACAGCUCACCCUGUGCAAAUAGGUGUGAAAUCUGCCACGCUCUGUGGCUGCGGAGAUGAGCGCCUGUUUCUCAUAUACCAUUGGCACACUUGGGGCUGCAAAAAUAGUAGAACCAGGCCUUACUUUCGUAAUCAGAUUCCGUUCUGUUUGUCGACAGACGCUCGUUGUGUUCCUUUCUUUCAUUACGUGAGUCGGUCGAGGACUGUUCAUCCUUUGAGUACAUAGUAGGGUUGUUUAGUACGUUGAACAUGAUCUUUUUUUUUUUUCCUUUGAAGUACUCAAAGGGCUAGCUCUGAAUGUCACCUCUCUGAUCUCCAGCAUUCUGACUUCAAACAGCUGUACAAUCGUUUUGUUCUCUCUUCAGCAAGCAUAAAGGUCUCUCUGGCUACAGACCGCAGUGUCCACGCAUGUUUGCAGAGAACGAUCUGCAUGCAGGCAGUGCCUCACCGCACCGGUGAAGCUCGUGUUCACCCUCUCCCAGCAGUAGCCACCUACUGCAGCUGCCUUUUUUUCCUUGCUGCCCAUUAUGCGGGGCUUCGACUUUUCAUACUAUAAAAAAAAGAAGUGUAUUGUUUUUUUUUUUCUUGCCCACCAUGCUUUAAGUCUGAAUGGGAGAGAACUCUCAGCAGACGGCGGCUCCUGGCUGCGAGGUUGCAGAACUCUCAGAUGCGGAUGUGUUUUUCUGCCAUUGGCUGCACCGGUGCUCCGUGGGCGAAUAUGGAUCCAUCAGCCCCCCGGUCUGCGUACCGUAGUUCUCAUGUAGUGCAGAAUUAUCGAGGCAUGUGGCUUUCUUAAGGUACACUAUGUGUGCUUGCCUGGAUUACAAUACGAGACUGUCUUUUUUUAUCGCUUACUACUAGCUUACCAAUAACCUCUAUAAGUAACCUAACUCACAUCUUUGUCAUUCAGACCUUUUCUCCCCACCCCUUUAUUUAUCAAGCAUAAUAUUACAUGUUAAGGGACAGGAAAAUAGACCUUUGUAGAAUACAGCAGAACAGUGUUGCUAACAAUGUUUGAAAUGGGAAUUAGAACCUCUCUGAAAAACGCCAGCCAUGAGAAAUGACUUUGUUGGCACCGUGUUCAUGCGCAUGUAUUUUUUUCUAUUGUUUCCGCUUUUGUCAUGUUACAUCCAUAUCUGUAUUUAUAUCUUGUUUGUUUCACUUUUGAGUGUAUCAUGGCAAUUGUACAGAUGGUUUUUGUUAACAUUUACGUGAUAGAAUUUGCUAAAAAAAAAAAAAAAAUUAAAAUAAAACCUUUUGAGUUUGCCCUAGAGCAAGUGGGACGUGGGUUUGUUGGCAGGGAGGAGCAUUAAUGGAGGCACAUUAUCCGGCACAUCUCCCACUCCAGCAGCCUUUGCCUGUAAAGGAUUCGCUCUCCGUGUUGAAAAUGCAUGGAACCUUUAGGCAAAGGGCUGCUGCCACCUCGUGCAGAUGGACCUCCCGUGGUGUGUGCAGGAACAUGGACCAGACCACAGCUCUGGGAGUGGGGACUUGGCAUGUCUUGG
rnacentral:lncRNA from 1 species